rnacentral:rRNA from 1 species
UUAAUCCUACGGGGCGCAGCAGUAGGGAAUCUUCCACAAUGGGCGAAAGCCUGAUGCAGCAACGCCGCGUGAGCGAUGAAGGCCUUCGGGUCGUAAAGCUCUGUCCUCAAGGAAGAUAAUGACGGUACUUGAGGAGGAAGCCCCGGCUAACUACGUGCCAGCAGCCGCGGUAAUACGUAGGGGGCUAGCGUUAUCCGGAAUUACUGGGCGUAAAGGGUGCGUAGGUGGUUUCUUAAGUCAGAGGUGAAAGGCUACGGAUCAACCGUAGUAAGCCUUUGAAACUGGGGAACUUGAGUGCAGGAGAG